rnacentral:rRNA from 1 species
GCGGCGAGUGAAGCGGCAAAAGCUCAAAUUUGAAAUCUGGCACCUUCGGUGUCCGAGUUGUAAUUUGAAGAUUGUAACCUUGGGGUUGGCUCUUGUCUAUGUUUCUUGGAACAGGACGUCACAGAGGGUGAGAAUCCCGUGCGAUGAGAUGCCCAAUCCUAUGUAAGGUGCUUUCGAAGAGUCGAGUUGUUUGGGAAUGCAGCUCUAAGUGGGUGGUAAAUUCCAUCUAAAGCUAAAUAUUGGCGAGAGACCGAUAGCGAACAAGUACAGUGAUGGAAAGAUGAAAAGAACUUUGAAAAGAGAGUGAAAAAGUACGUGAAAUUGUUGAAAGGGAAGGGUUUGAGAUCAGACUCGAUAUUUUGUGAGCCUUGCCUUCGUGGCGGGGUGACCCGCAGCUUAUCGGGCCAGCAUCGGUUUGGGCGGUAGGAUAAUGGCGUAGGAAUGUGACUUUGCUUCGGUGAAGUGUUAUAGCCUGCGUUGAUGCUGCCUGCCUAGACCGAGGACUGCGAUUUUAUCAAGGAUGCUGGCAUAAUGAUCCCAAACCGCCCGUCUUG